rnacentral:pre_miRNA from 1 species
CAACUACUCCCUCUGUCCCAAAUUUCUUGUCUUAGAUUUGUCUAGAUAUGGAUGUAUCUAAUACUAAAAUGUGACUUGAUACAUCCGUAUCUAGACAAAUGUAAGACAAGAAUUUUGGGACGGAGGGAGUACUUU